rnacentral:lncRNA from 1 species
CUCAUUUCCCGGUCUGUCGCCUUUGUAGAAACCCCGAGGAUGGCAACCUUCAACCUGGAGAUCCCUGAAGCCUUGACCAGGGAGGUUUACAGUGAAGCGUUCCUAUUAGCGACUACAGCUAUCUAACCUCAGUUCCUCCUGCUGCAGUUUCGGUCCCUUUCUCCUCCUCCUCCAGCAACCACGCCCUCCAUGAAUCAGCUUCUUGCACCAGCAGAUGAGCCCUUUAAAGGGAUUGCAUCAGGCAAGUGACUCACUGGGGCCCUCUAAGAGCCUGGCUUCCCUCCCUUGGCAUGCAGAAGCAGCUAGAAGGGCUCAGUGGCAGCAGCACCAGCGGCCGUAGCCCCACUCCCUUGUCCCAGAGGUGUGAGUCAGGGUGUUUGCUGCUUAUGAUGUCUAACUCUUGGCUGUCUUUCCAGCUGUCCCCUGGGUCACUCUAUAUCCAUGUGUGGGCACACGUGUCUAAGCUUGUGUGCACUGCUGGGUUUUCCUAGGGUGUGUGGCCACUUGUGUGUAUGUGCAUUUGUCAUCUCCACAUAGGCAGUGCCAGGACACAAGAGCUGAUAUGAGUGAAGUCUGGCUGCCUCUACCUGUGUCCUUUGUCUCUGAAUGCCUGGUGCCCACUGAGCUGCUGAUAGGGCUGACUAACAAGAGUAAUCAGGACAGCUCCCACCGUUGUGCCACACUCUGCAUGGAGCACUUGAGACAGUAUUAGGUAGGAGGCUGUUUACAGCUGAGGAAGCCAGUGCUCAGAGAAGGAAAUUAAUGUGCCCAAACACACACAGCUAAUAAUGGCAGGGCUAGGAUUCAAAUCAAGUCUGAUGGAUUCCAAAAAACUUGGCUUUGAAUCCCUGCUGCAUCACUUACAAGCUGGGUGACUAUGUGCAAAUUGCCCAAUCUUCCCCUUCUGUCCAAACAGGGAUAACGCUUGGGGGAUCACUGUGAGGACUCGGAGUUAUAGAAACAGCUUUUUGCAAGACCCAGCGAGCACUCAUACUCAUCUCAGUUGAAGGGCUUCAAUGAGGUGGGUGACCAAAAGACAGGCAUAAAGAAGGCCCCAGCCCAGCAAGCUCCACUCUCUGACAAAACAAAAAGCCUAGGGAUUCCGGAAGCCCUGACUCUGACAAAAAUGAGUUCUGGGUUUUCCAGAGCUCUAAUUAUCAGCUAGAUGAAUCACUCUGCGCUGACACCACCAUUCCUACCCCCAGGAGACUCUCAGCUGAUUGAAAAUCCAGGAUUUUAACAAAGGAGAGGAGGAGGAACAGAAAGCUAGGAGGAGAAGAAGUAAUGAAUAGAAACCAAAGGUGCCAGCCAGAGGAAAUGAGAAACUGUCAUCAGGACACUACCAUGAGGAGAACGCUGGGACACACACACACACACACACACACACUCACACUCACGCUGACAUACUCUUGCUGGCUCUCCAACUCUAGGCUUACGGCAGACGGUGCUGCCAUAACAAAGUGACGCCUGUCACAACAGCAUGAGAUGGUGGCUUGACAAGGUAUAGGCAGAUCUGCCUAUCACAGAAGGAGGGAAAGAGACCUUCAACCCCCAGGGGCUUCCUCAGGCUUCUGAACCCUCGUCUCCAUUACUGGUUGGCUCUGGCUUCUCUUUGUCACCAAAUCGCAAGGCCUAAAUCUGGCAAAUUUUGAGUGUCAGACCUACACCCUGUGGCUAGGUACCACCACUGUGGUGAACAAAGGCACCUCUUAUACUCUGUCAUCAGUAUGAUGCCAAGAGUGCUGGGAAACAGAAUAGCACAGCAGUUAAGAUCAUUGAGUUGGAGUCACACAGACCUGAGUUCAAAUCCCCAUUCUGUUGUUCACCUUGAGCAGGCCACAUAACUUCCUUGAGCCGGUUUGCUCAAAUGUAAAAUGGUGCUAUUAAUAUAUGGGGUUUUUAUAAUGAUAUAAUAAGAUUACUUUCAGGGCUGGGCGCAGUGGCUCACUCCUGUAAUCCCAGCACUUUGGGAGGCCGAGGUGGGUGGAUUGUCUGAGGUCAGGAGUUCGAGACCAGCCUGGCUAACAUGGCAAAACCCCGUCUCUACUGAAAAUACAAAAAUUAGCUGGACGUGGUGGCUGGUGCCUGUAAUCCCAGCUACUUGAGAGGCUGAGCAGGGGGAAUCACUUGAACCUGGGAGGCAGAGGUCGCAGUGAGCCAAGAUCGCACCAUUGCACUCCAGCUCAGGCAACAAGAGUGAAACCCCAUGUCAAAAAAAAAAAAAAAAGGAUUAUUUUCAUUCCACAAGAUUGAUGGAGUGCCCACUAUGUGCAGAGCACUGAGCUAGAUGCUGGAGAUUCGGCAUAACCAGACAACAGCUCUGCCCUUGUGGAGCAUCAGAGCACCCAGCACAGGGCAAGUAGUAAAAUUCAACAAAGAGUAGCUAUUUUUCAUUUAUUUUAUUUUAGAGACGGGGUCUUGCUGUUGCCUAGGCUGGAGUGCAGUGGCACAAUCACAGCUCACUGCACCCUCAAACUCCCAGGCUCAAGAGAUCCUCCCACCUCAGCCUCCUGAGUAGCUGGGA